GUGGGGAAUCUUGCGCAAUGGGCGAAAGCCUGACGCAGCCAUGCCGCGUGAAUGAUGAAGGUCUUAGGAUUGUAAAAUUCUUUCACCGGGGACGAUAAUGACGGUACCCGGAGAAGAAGCCCCGGCUAACUUCGUGCCAGCAGCCGCGGUAAUACGAAGGGGGCUAGCGUUGCUCGGAAUUACUGGGCGUAAAGGGCGCGUAGGCGGAUCGUUAAGUCAGGGGUGAAAUCCCAGAGCUCAACUCUGGAACUGCCCUUGAUACUGGCGAUCUUGAGUGUGAGAGAGGUAUGUGGAACUCCGAGUGUAGAGGUGAAAUUCGUAGAUAUUCAGAAGAACACCAGUGGCGAAGGCGACAUACUGGCUCAUUACUGACGCUGAGGCGCGAAAGCGUGGGGAGCAAACAGGAUUAGAAACCCUAGUAGUCC
rnacentral:rRNA from 1 species